UGGGGGACCUUCGGGCCUCACACCACCGGAUGUGCCCAGAUGGGAUUAGCUUGCUGGUGAGGUAAGAGCUCACCAGGGCGACGAUCCCUAGCUGGUCUGAGAGGAUGACCAGCCACACUGGAACUGAGACACGGUCCAGACUCCUACGGGAGGCAGCAGUGGGGAAUAUUGCACAAUGGGCGCAAGCCUGAUGCAGCCAUGCCGCGUGUAUGAAGAAGGCCUUCGGGUUGUAAAGUACUUUCAGCGGGGAGGAAGGUGUUGAAGUUAAUAGCUUCAUCAAUUGACGUUACCCGCAGAAGAAGCACCGGCUAACUCCGUGCCAGCAGCCGCGGUAAUACGGAGGGUGCGAGCGUUAAUCGGAAUUACUGGGCGUAAAGCGCACGCAGGCGGUCUGUUAAGUCAGAUGUGAAAUCCCCGGGCUUAACCCGGGAACUGCAUUUGAAACUGGCAGGCUGGAGUCUCGUAGAGGGGGGGUAGAAUUCCAGGUGUAGCGGUGAAAUGCGUAGAGAUCUGGAGGAAUACCGGUGGGCGAAGGGCGGCCCCCUGGACGAAGACUGACGCUCAGGUGCGAAAGCGUGGGGAGCAAACAGGAUUAGAUACCCUGGUAGUCCACGCUGUAAACGAUGUCGAUUUGGAGGUUGUGCCCUGAGGUGUGGCUUCCGAAGCUAACGCGUUAAAUCGACCGCCUGGGGAGUACGGCCGCAAGGUUAAAACUCAAAUGAAUUGACGGGGGCCCGCACAAGCGGUGGAGCAUGUGGUUUAAUUCGAUGCAACGCGAAGAACCUUACCUGGCCUUGACAUCCACGGAAGACUGCAGAGAUGCGGUUGUGCCUUCGGGAACCGUGAGACAGGUGCUGCAUGGCUGUCGUCAGCUCGUGUUGUGAAAUGUUGGGUUAAGUCCCGCAACGAGCGCAACCCUUAUCCUUUGUUGCCAGCACUUCGGGUGGGAACUCAAAGGAGACUGCCGGUGAUAAACCGGAGGAAGGUGAGGAUGACGUCAAGUCAUCAUGGCCCUUACGGCCAGGGCUACACACGUGCUACAAUGGCGCAUACAAAGAGAAGCGAGCCUGCGAGGGGAAGCGGACCUCAUAAAGUGCGUCGUAGUCCGGAUCGGAGUCUGCAACCCGACUCCGUGAAGUCGGAAUCGCUAGUAAUCGUGGAUCAGAAUGCCACGGUGAAUACGUUCCCGGGCCUUGUACACACCGCCCGUCACACCAUGGGAGUGGGUUGCAA
rnacentral:rRNA from 1 species